rnacentral:piRNA from 1 species
UGUAAAAUGGUCACUAGAAGGGACUUUUGGU